AAACAGUCAGGCUCUUCAAGAUGAAGACGAGGCUGUUAUGAAGUCUCCUACUGCCUCUCCUGAACCAAGCGACAAAGCCGCUUGCCCCACUAAGACAGGGCAAGGGGUGGACACCAAGCUCCCAUGUACAAGAAUCUAGACUGGGAGGUAGUGUGGACCAGAAUGAGCCAGAUGAACAGCUACCCAACCCACCUACCUCAAACCAGACGGAAGCUGGGGUAGCUGAAGCAGAAAAUGACGAGAACGAGCUGAAACUCGUGGAUGACGGUACCCAUUGCAGCUCCCAAGAGCCCCACCACCACCACCAAAGGAAAAACCCAGUCCACUUCCAAGAACCCAGUCACCACGGGGACAGCGACUACGAGGACGAUUCCGCGAAAGACGUGAAGGAAGAGGAGGACGUGGACCAACCUGAGUGUCCAUAUGGCACAGACUGCUACAGCCGGUAUCAUACAACAACGAUGAUGAUGAGUUUGGGGACGAUGACCGCUUCAUCAAUGAUGAGAGCGAGGACGUAAGUGAAGACUAUGAGCCACCUGACUCAGACGACAGUGGCAAGGAGGACCUCAAAAGACUCUAGAAAGAAGCCAAGGCCUUCACAAAUCUGAACUACUGGCCUAAACUGGACUAAUCUCCCUUUACCUGUUUUUAAACUAAGCAUGCUAUUUAAGCAGGGUUGAAGCGUGUUUGGGUAUAGCUUUUUUCCUCUUCAAACACACUUGGAAUCCAGCAGGUCUAGAAUCUCCAAUCUUAGCCUCCCUGUGCUGGGAAAAUUGUCAGCAAUUUACCCCAUCAGUUGGGAAGAAUCAAUAAGGGGAUUCUUGACUUGAUGUCUUUGAUGUCAUAUUGCUGGCUUUACCUUUUUUUUUUUAAGUAAUUGAAUUUAUGUGUAAUACUUUCUUGGAUAGUAAUUCAUCACUAGCAUUUUUGAGGUGUAGGAAUUCUUGAUUAUUGGUUUGUUUGAAUAGUAUGGACAAGCAGUAAAACAUAUAUAUAUAUUCCUUUAAAAAUCAUUGAUCAGUCCCUUCAGAAAACACCCCUUGAUUUUUUUCACAUUUUGUUGUUAUAAAGUACAAUUAAAUUGUCCAUUUUCCGUCAACUAUCUACACUAAAUGUUUUGUAAUUUCAAAGAAAAAUGCUAGAUUUAGUAUUUAUUAAGGAAAAUAUUCAGUAAAUGUUAAACACCUUUUGGUGUGAAUUGUUUUGGGUAAGUCUCUAAGAGCUUUGCACACCAGUAUUGUGCAAAAUUUGCCCAUUAUUCUUUAAAGAAUUAUUCAAGCUCUGUCAAGUUGGUUGUUGAUCAUUGUCUGUUGGAAAGCAGACUGAACCAGGUUUUCCUCUAGGUUUUUGCCUGUGCUUAGAACUAUUCUCUUUAUUUUUAUCCUGAAAAGCUCCCUAGUUCUUGCAGACAAUAAGCAUAUCCAUAACGUGAUGCAGCCACCACCAUGCUGGAAAAUACGAAGAGUGGUACUCGGUGAUGUGAUGAAUUUGCCCCAAACAUAACACUUUGUAUUCAGGACAAAAGUUUUUUUCUUUGCCACAUUAUUCACAGUAUUACUUUAAUUUCUUUUUGCAAACAGGAUGCAUCGUCAUUUAGGUUAGGAUUAUCGAGUAACUACACUGUUUUAAUGGCCUCAUGGUGAAAUCCCUGAGUGGUUUCCUUCCUCUCCAGCAACUGACUUAGGAAGGACGCAUGUAUCUCUGUAGUGACUGUGUGUAUUGAUACACCAUCCAAAACCUAAUGAAUAACUUCACCAUGCUCAAUAUUCAGCAUCUGCUUUUUAAUUUUUUUUACUCAUUUACCAAUCGGUGACCUUCUUUGUGAGGAAUUGAGAAACCUCCCUGGUCUUUGUGGUUGAAUCUGUGCUUGAAUUUCACAACUCAACUGAGGGACCUUACAGAUGAUUAUAUGUGUGAGACGGGCUAGUCAUUCAAAAAUCAUGUUAACCACUAUUGCAGAGAGUGAGUCCAUGCAACUUAUGUGAUUUGCUAAGCAAAUGUUUACUCCUGAACUUAUUUACGCUUGUCAUCACAAAGGGGUUGAAUACAUAUUGCCUCAAGCCAUUCCAGCCAUUUUUGUUUUCAUUUGUAAAACAUUCUUAAACUCACUUAGACAUUCUGGGGUAUUGUGUGUAGAUCAGUGACACAAAAUGUAGUUCUUUAAUCCAUUUUAAAUUCACGCUGUAACACAACAAAAUGUGGGAGAAGUCCAAGGGAUGUGAAUACUUUCUGAAGGCAUUAUAAAUAAUGUAUCAUACCAGUAGUUAUGUGUUUAAUUGACAGUAGUUUGUCAUGAUUUGUAUGAUCAAUGCCAGUGUCAUGUUUUUCUACAGUACUUUUACAGCUUUUAUAGAACAAUAUUCAUUGUCUGUCUCAAUGUAGAAAGAUGUGUAAAAAUACACAAGAUGGGAUUACACCAGAGUGUAAUAGUGUUUAAUUAUAAAAAAUAAAUAAAAAUAUAUACAGUUUUUUUGUUUUUUUGUAAGCAAAUUUGUAUUUAUUUUGUCGUCCA